rnacentral:rRNA from 1 species
GACGAACGCUGGCGGCGUGCUUAACACAUGCAAGUCGAACGGUGAAGCGCCUUCCUUUUUGGUGGGUGUGGAUGAGUGGCGAACGGGUGAGUAACACGUGAGUAACCUGCCCCCUUCUUCUGGAUAACCGCAUGAAAGUGUGGCUAAUACGGGAUAUUCUGGGUCUGUCGCAUGAUGGGUCUGGGAAAGAUAUUGUUUCGGUGGGGGAUGGGCUUGCGGCCUAUCAGCUUGUUGGUGGGGUGAUGGCCUACCAAGGCGGUGACGGGUAGCCGGCCUGAGAGGGUGGACGGUCCCACUGGGACUGAGACACGGCCCAGACUCCUACGGGAGGCAGCAGUGGGGAAUAUUGCACAAUGGGCGCAAGCCUGAUGCAGCGACGCCGCGUGAGGGAUGGAGGCCUUCGGGUUGUGAACCUCUUUCGCCAGUGAAGCAGGCCUGCCUCGUUUGUGGGUGGGUUGACGGUAGCUGGAUAAGAAGCGCCGGCUAACUACGUG